CUCUGUGAAGACACAGGUAAGCUUCCUGCCUCAGUAGCUUGAAGGCUCUUGAUGCUGGUGGCCCAGUGCGGCAUAAAUGCUCACAUCAAGUGUUCUGCGACAAGCGUACAACCGUAUAAGCCUCCAUCAAGACGGAACAUUCCCCCUUACUCUGGGGUUUUCCUUCUGGCCAACCUCUCUGCCCCAGGCUUCUGACAAAACUCAGUUGGAGACUACAGAGGAGAGAACUUUGCAAAAUCCAAGGAAAUAGAAACUGAGCAUAGUUGCAAAAGUGACCCAGAACUCUUCCAGGUGGAAGGAAGUCCCUGUCAGGAUGAACAUUUGACUGAUGUGAACAGAAAACCAAGGAAAUGGUAAAAACAGGAGAAGUAUCUGGGCAGGACUGGUGGCACAGACCUGUAAUGCCAGCUGCUCUGGAGGCUGAGACAGAAGGGCAAAGCUGAGGCCAGCCUGGAUAACUCAGUGAGAUAUUGUCUCAAUAAAACGUUUUUGUAAAGUGA